AUCAGGACUUCUCCUCCGCACAUGCCCGAACCACCUCAGCCUCGCUUCUCGCAUCUUCUCAUCCACCGGGGCCCCCCCACCUUCUCUCGAAUAACUUCGUUCUUAAUCUUAUCUAGCCUGGUGAGCUCUCACAUCCACCUGAGCAUCCUCAUCUCUACAUUUAAUUCUCUGAACAUGAGAGUUUUUCACUGGCCAGCACUCCGCCCCAUACAACAUUGCAGGUCUAACCACAGCUCUAUAAAUUUCCCCUUGAGUUUCUGUGGAACUUUCUUGUCACACAGGACUCCUGAUGCAAGCCUCCACUUUGACCAC
rnacentral:lncRNA from 1 species